ACCGGAGCUAAUACCGGAUAAUAUUUUGAACCGCAUGGUUCAAAAGUAAAAGACGGUCUUGCUGUCACUUAUAGAUGGAUCCGCGCUGCAUUAGCUAGUUGGUAAGGUAACGGCUUACCAAGGCAACGAUGCAUAGCCGACCUGAGAGGGUGAUCGGCCACACUGGAACUGAGACACGGUCCAG
rnacentral:rRNA from 1 species